GAACUCCGACCGGAGACGGAAGGAGUGCUUUUAUUAGAUCAAAACCAAUCGGUGGCGGGUUCGCUCGUCAUCGUACAACUUGGUGACUCUGAAUAACUUUAUGCUGAUCGCACGGUCUCGCACCGGCGACGCAUCUUUCAAAUGUCUGCCUUAUCAACUGUCGAUGGUAGGUUCUGCGCCUACCAUGGUUGUAACGGGUAACGGGGAAUCAGGGUUCGAUUCCGGAGAGGGAGCCUGAGAAACGGCUACCACAUCCAAGGAAGGCAGCAGGCGCGCAAAUUACCCACUCCCGGCACGGGGAGGUAGUGACGAAAAAUAACGAUACGGGACUCAUCCGAGGCCCCGUAAUCGGAAUGAGUACACUCUAAACCCUUUAACGAGGAUCAAUUGGAGGGCAAGUCUGGUGCCAGCAGCCGCGGUAAUUCCAGCUCCAAUAGCGUAUAUUAAAGUUGUUGCGGUUAAAAAGCUCGUAGUCGAAUCUGUGUCCCGCGCCGCUGGUUCAUCGUCCGCGGUGUCAACUGGCGUGUCGCGGGACGUCCUGCCGGUGGGCUUAGCUUGCAAGGGCGGCCCAACUCAAUCCUGCCGCGGUGCUCUUCACUGAGUGUCGAGGUGGGCCGGCACGUUUACUUUGAACAAAUUAGAGUGCUUAAAGCAGGCUAAAACUUCGCCUGAAUACUGUGUGCAUGGAAUAAUGGAAUAGGACCUCGGUUCUAUUUUGUUGGUUUUCGGAACCCCGAGGUAAUGAUUAAUAGGAACGGAUGGGGGCAUUCGUAUUGCGACGUUAGAGGUGAAAUUCUUGGAUCGUCGCAAGACGGACAGAAGCGAAAGCAUUUGCCAAAAACGCUUUCAUUGAUCAAGAACGAAAGUUAGAGGUUCGAAGGCGAUCAGAUACCGCCCUAGUUCUAACCAUAAACGAUGCCAGCUAGCGAUCCGUCGACGUUCCUCCGAUGACUCGACGGGCAGCUUCCGGGAAACCAAAGCUUUUGGGUUCCGGGGGAAGUAUGGUUGCAAAGCUGAAACUUAAAGGAAUUGACGGAAGGGCACCACCAGGAGUGGAGCCUGCGGCUUAAUUUGACUCAACACGGGAAACCUCACCAGGCCCGGACACCGGAAGGAUUGACAGAUUGAGAGCUCUUUCUUGAUUCGGUGGGUGGUGGUGCAUGGCCGUUCUUAGUUGGUGGAGCGAUUUGUCUGGUUAAUUCCGAUAACGAACGAGACUCUAGCCUGCUAACUAGGCGUAUUUUGACAUCGCAAAGGCCCGCCGGUAUUGGGGUUCGCUCCUUUAUCGCGCGCGGUUUUUACUGUCGGCGUACAAACAAUUCUUCUUAGAGGGACAGGCGGCCUCUAGCCGCACGAGAUUGAGCAAUAACAGGUCUGUGAUGCCCUUAGAUGUUCUGGGCCGCACGCGCGCUACACUGAAGGAAUCAGCGUGUCCUCCCUGGCCGAGCGGCCCGGGUA
rnacentral:rRNA from 1 species